AUUGAACGCUGGCGGCAGGCCUAACACAUGCAAGUCGAGCGAGCGGCGGACGGGUGCGUAAUGUAUGGGGAUCUGCCCGAUAGAGGGGGAUAACUACUGGAAACGGUAGCUAAUACCGCAUACCAUCAGAUGCACCCAUAUGGGAUUAGCUUGUCGGUGAGGUAACGGCUCACCUAGGCGACGAUCCCUAGCUGGUCUGAGAGGAUGAGCAGCCAAACUGGGACUGAGACACGGCCCAGACGCCUACGGGAGGCAGAAGUGGGGAAUAUGGCACAAUGGGCGCAAGCCUGAUGCAGCCAUGCCGCGUGUAUGAAGAAGGCCUUAGGGUUGUAAAGUACUUUCAGCGGGGAGGCGUUACCCGCAGAAGAAGCACCGGCUAACUCCGUGCCAGCAGCCGCGGUAAUUC
rnacentral:rRNA from 1 species